ensembl:lncRNA novel transcript
ACAUCCGCCGGUUACCCUCGAGGCUCCCCGGCCGCGCGCUCCCCUCUCUCCGUCCCAUCACCCGGUGACCCCGGCUGAGCGAACGCCCACCCCUCCCUCAGGGACCCCCUCCCCGUGACACGAUCCCCCGUGAACGCCCACCUCCCUCAGUGAACACUCCCCCGUGACAUGACCCCCCGCAAACGCCCACCCAUCCCUCGGUGACCCUGCGCCCGUGAGCGCCCACCCCUCCCCCUGCGACCCCUCCCCCCGCCACCUGGCAACUGCCGUUUUCCCGCCUUCCCUCCUCCGCCCCCUCUCCCGCAUCACCCCGUUUUCUGGUGACCGCUCCCCCCCAUCCCGUGACACAAACCCCCGACCUCCCAGCCCUUCCCCGGUGACACGAUCCCUGUGACCGUCUGGCCCGGUAACCGCCCCUCCCCUCAUGACCCUUCACCCAGUCCCCUGGUGCCCACCCCCGUCACUGCCGCCCGCCUGGUUCCAGCCUCGCGAGACCGCUGUCUACGGCGCUGACGCCGCCUCUGCCUCUUGACCCCUUGGCCCCGCUGUCCUGAUCCCUGAGGUCGGGGCCUGGUCUGCACUCCAGGAAAGACGAGUGCGCUUAGUGUGCGCUGCACGUGAGCAGUGAAGUUGAUUCCACGCGCUGCGCUGCUCGGCAGCUGUCCCAGAACUGACCACGGACCCCUCCGCGGGUCCUGCUCCUGACAAGGGCCUUCCGGCACUGGGAGUUUUGUGUUAGUGGAAAGGAAGAAUCUAAUAAUACCACCACCUUUACAGUAAAGACGCUGCGAAUUGACGCCUUUUAUAAUAAAGACACUUAUCUUGCCCAAGAGCUGGGCUGGAGUGUAGUGGCGCAAUCUUGGAUCACCACAACCUCCGUCUCCCAGGUUCAAGCGAUUCUCCCGCCUCAGCCUCCUGAGUAGCAAUUACAGGGAGCAUUUCCUGAAGACGUAGUCAUGCAGCACGUCAGCAGCUCCCAGAGCAGCCAGCGCCAUGUCCAGUGGCCUGGGGCCUGCCCCGGCGCGGGCGAGGAGCAGCCAGCGUGCUCCCAGCCGUCCCUGCCCCUCACACUGCCAUCCCCCAGCCACCAACUACAGCAGCUGAUGGAUGGGUCAGGGCUCACCCAGAUCGCCCAGGGAGCCCAGGUUCAGCUCCAGCACCCGGGUACGCCCAUCACAGUCCGAGAGCGGAGACCCUCCCAGCCCCACACACAGUCAGGGGGCACCAUCCACCACCUGGGACCCCAGAGCCCUGCAGCCGCGGGUGGGGCCGGCCUGCAGCCCCUGGCCAGCCCAAGCCACAUCACCACGGCUAACUUGCCACCGCAGAUCAGCAGCAUCAUCCAGGGCCAGCUGGUUCAGCAGCAGCAGGUGCUGCAGGGGCCGCCGCUGCCCCGGCCCCUGGGCUUCGAGAGGACGCCCGGCGUGCUGCUCCCCGGGGCUGGGGGCGCAGCGGGGUUUGGGAUGACGUCCCCACCCCCGCCCACCAGCCCUUCCAGGACUGCCGUGCCCCCAGGCCUUUCCAGCCUCCCACUCACGUCUGUGGGGAACACGGGAAUGAAGAAGGUUCCCAAGAAGUUAGAGGAGAUUCCCCCAGCCUCUCCGGAGAUGGCACAGAUGAGGAAGCAGUGCCUGGACUAUCAUCACCAGGAGAUGCAGGCUCUGAAGGAGGUCUUCAAGGAGUAUUUGAUUGAACUGUUUUUCUUGCAACACUUUCAAGGGAACAUGAUGGAUUUCUUAGCUUUCAAGGAGAGACUGUAUGGACCAUUACAAGCAUAUCUUAGGCAGAAUGAUUUGGACAUUGAAGAAGAGGAAGAGGAGCACUUUGAAGUCAUUAAUGAUGAGGUAAAGGUUGUGGCCAGAAAGCACGGGCAGCCUGGGACUCCUGUUGCCAUAGCAACCCAGCUACCGCCGAGGACUUCUGCGGCUUUUCCAGCCCAGCAGCAGCCGCUCCAGGUACUUUCUGAUGGCUCCACAGUGCAGCUCCCCAGACUUUCCUCACUCGGAUUUGAGGACUCGAUGUGCUGAGGCAGGACCCAGAGGGGUCCCAAGAGCCUGUCCUCUUUUGUUCAAAAUACAUCUUGAAACGUCUUUGUGAAGGCUCUUAGUUUUAAUGCAUGGAUGCUGUUAUUUUUCCCUACUGUUACUGAAAUUAAAAAGUGUUUGUCUCUGA